rnacentral:ribozyme from 1 species
UCAGAACAUUCUGGCCCAAGAUAUACUCUUUGACAGAAGGAAACAAGAUAUUAAACCAAAAACAGAUGAUCACUAAAAUGAAAAAAAUGAAAAAAAGGCCAAAGAAUUGCAGAAAACGAGUUUGUCGACUAUUUACU